GGCAGGGUGGUUUAAUGGUGAGCACAUUUGCCUCGCAUUCACCACCACAUUUGCCUCAUUGGGGGUUCAAUUCCAACCUCUGCCC